UGGGGAAGCCAAUGAUGACUUUUCAGCACAAUGUCUGAACCUGUCCGAUGCCUCCUGACGAGACUUUGGCUGCCUGAGGUUUCCCUGGUC